rnacentral:tRNA from 1 species
ACCUGGCUGGCUCAGUCAGUAGAGCAUGUGACUCUUGAUCUCAGGGUCAUGCGCUCAACUCCCAUGUUGGGCG